rnacentral:lncRNA from 1 species
AUGAUAGCAAUCCCUGCCACCAGGAUGGAUCACAGAGUGGUAGCCAGAGUGGAUCAUACACCUCACAAAACUAUGGUGGUAGCCAGCAGAGUGGAUCAUCAUCCUCACAAAAUUAUGGUGGUGGUCGGGGUGGUUCAUCCUCACAAAACUAUGGUGGCAGCAAAGGUGGAUCGGGUGGAUCCUCUUCUCAAAACUAUUAUGGCGGCCAAGUAAGUAAUGCUUUAUUUCAGCAAUUAUACAUCACUUCAUACAAGCUUUAGCCUCUGCUCAAAAUUGGGUUUUCUGUUUGCUAGUUUUCUCUGAUUUUUGAUUGGAUUUUUUUUUUUUAAG